UUCACUUUGCUUUUAUAAUAUAUCCAUAAGGAACCUCUUUCCUUUCUCUAUCAGGUUUUCUGAAAUAACAUUUAGUGCUGCACAUGCCUCUGAGAUCCCAGGGUGGAAGCCCAUGGUUUCCUUAAAGGUUCUGAUCUCCACACCAGCAAGGCAGCAUGAACCUGCUGUACUGUCAGCAAUCACCUCCCUGCCACCACAGAAGGUGUCAGCAACAUUAUUCCUCUGCCUGCUGAAUGCACGAGCAAAGGUGAGCGUACAGUCAGAGCACAAGAGGGAAAGGAUGCUUUGGUCAGGUGACUGGACUCUCCACAGAGCUCUUAAAGAUGAUCCUACCUGAUACUUAUGCUUCAACAUAAAUAAACAUUUUGCAUAUUUUUCCGACACAUGAUUAUUCUUUGAUAUGUUAAAAUGUAAGUCCCUCCUCUUUUGCUUUUCUGUGAUUUAAAUAAUUACCUGAAUAGACCAUGUGAAUUAUGGCUUUCACAUUCCCCAGUUCAAUCAUGCUAAUUUAUCUUCUGGCAGAGAAUUUCAAACAAAAUUAUUGUCUCGUUCUGAGGCAUGAUGUUAAUGAAAGAUAUUAAUUACUUCUUAGAAAGCAUAUUCUUUAACUAGACCACAAAUUGAAGAAGAGGUUUACCAGAAAAAAAUGAAUUCUGCUUUAGUUCUCCCUCUUCUCACACACACAGAAUUUCUCUCACCUAGACUCAUACAAAAAUGCCUUUUUAUUCUCACUCUCAUUGAAAACCUUUCUUUUCCUUCUGUAUCCUCACUGAACACUGGUGCCAUCCCUUUUUUUAAUGGCAUCUAAGAUAUAUUUCCUUUGAAAACUCAUCUUUCUAGCUCUGAAAAAAUACAUGAAGAUCUCUGGUGUCUAAUCAAAGCAAAUGGAGGCUAUAGACUAUAGUCUACACUUUUUGAACAUCAAGGAAAUCCUUUCUUGUUCAGUUUCAAAUACUACGCUCUGCAGAUAAGCCAGGCAAUUUUAACUAAAAUUUUCAUAGAAAAAG
rnacentral:lncRNA from 1 species